rnacentral:rRNA from 1 species
UACGUAGGCAGCGAGCGUUGUUCGAAUUACUGGGCGUAAAGAGUGUGUAGGCGGUGCUCUAAGUUCGGUGUGAAAUCUCCCGCUUAACUGGGAGGGUGCGCCGGAAACUGGAGUGCUCGAGCGUGGGAGAGGAAAGCGGAAUUCCUGGUGUAGCGGUGAAAUGCGUAGAUAUCAGGAGGAACACCUGCGGUGUAGACGGCUUUCUGGACCAUUGCUGACGCUGAGACACGAAAGCGUGGGUAGCAAACAGG